UGCAUUCUAGACUGUAAAUCGCUUUGGAUAAAAUCGUCUGCUAAAUGGCAUAUA
rfam:Salmo salar isolate Sally breed double haploid chromosome ssa28, whole genome shotgun sequence.